rnacentral:rRNA from 1 species
ACCAUAGCGUUAUGGCCCCACCUGAUCCCAUGCCGAACUCAGUAGUGAAACGUAAUAGCGCCGAUGGUAGU